rnacentral:rRNA from 1 species
UACGGAGGGGGCUAGCGUUGUUCGGAAUUACUGGGCGUAAAGCGCACGUAGGCGGCUUUGUAAGUUAGAGGUGAAAGCCCGGGGCUCAACUCCGGAAUUGCCUUUAAGACUGCAUCGCUAGAAUUGUGGAGAGGUGAGUGGAAUUCCGAGUGUAGAGGUGAAAUUCGUAGAUAUUCGCAAGAACACCAGUGGCGAAGGCGGCUCACUGGCCCGAUACUGACGCUGAGGCACGAAAGCGUGGGGAGCGAACAGG